AGUGAACGCUGGCGGUAGGCCUAACACAUGCAAGUCGAACGGCAGCACAGGAGAGCUUGCUCUCUGGGUGGCGAGUGGCGGACGGGUGAGGAAUACAUCGGAAUCUACUCUGUCGUGGGGGAUAACGUAGGGAAACUUACGCUAAUACCGCAUACGACCUACGGGUGAAAGCAGGGGAUCUUCGGACCUUGCGCGAUUGAAUGAGCCGAUGUCGGAUUAGCUAGUUGGCGGGGUAAAGGCCCACCAAGGCGACGAUCCGUAGCUGGUCUGAGAGGAUGACCAGCCACAGUGGAAUUGAGACAGGGUCUAGACCCCUACGGGAGGCAGCAGUGGGGAAUAUUGGACAAUGGGCGCAAGCCUGAUCCAGCCAUACCGCGCGGGUGAAGAAGGCCUUCGGGUUGUAAAGCCCUUUUGUUGGGAAAGAAAUCCAGCUGGCUAAUACCCGGUUGGGAUGACGGUACCCAAAGAAUAAGCACCGGCUAACUUCGUGCCAGCAGCCGCCGUAA
rnacentral:rRNA from 1 species